UACGGAGGGUCCAAGCGUUAAUCGGAAUUACUGGGGCGUAAAAGCGUGCGCAGGCGGUUUUGUUAAGCGAGAUGUGAAAGCCCCCGGGCUCAACCUGGGGAAUUGCAUUUUCGAACUGGCAAACUAGAGUCUUGUAGAGGGGGGUAGAAUUCCAGGUGUAGCGGUGAAAUGCGUAGAGAUCUGGAGGAAUACCGGUGGCGAAGGCGGCCCCCUGGACAAAGACUGACGCUCAGGCACGAAAGCGUGGGGAGCAAACAGG
rnacentral:rRNA from 1 species